rnacentral:rRNA from 1 species
GGGGUACAGAGGGCCGCUACCACGCGAGUGGAUGCCAAUCCCCAAAACCUCUCUCAGUUCGGACUGGAGUCUGCAACCCGACUCCACGAAGCUGGAUUCGCUAGUAAUCGCGCAUCAGCCACGGCGCGGUGAAUACGUUCCCGGGCCUUGUACACACCGCCCGUCAAGCCAUGGGAGCCGGGGGUACCUGAAGUGCGUAACCGCGAGGAGCGCCCUAGGGUAAAACUGGUGACUGGGGCUAAGUCGUAACAAGGUACC